GUGUUUGGAGCUGGAGACGGCCUGGGUGCUGGCGAAGCGGAGGCCGGAGUAAGAAGACUGUUAGAAUGCCCUCGGUAACACAGAGGCUGAGAGAUCCUGACAUAAAUCCUUGUUUGUCGGUAGGAUGGUUUGCUUUAAUUUUCAUGAGUGUUAAGUUGGAAAAACAGGCUGCUCUAGUUUUGUGGGCCUUUGUUUUCUGCAGUUGUUGAAUAAAGUUAUUUCUCUAGAAAAAAUAUUGUUGGCCAGCAUAUCCUAUUUAACUAGAGCAUUUUUAGAUGUUUAUAAUUUCUCUAACAAACAUUCAUCUUUUCUUUAGUUUUCCUUAUUUGUAUAAUAUGCAAGCAUUUGGUUGUCACUGUAAAACUAGACAGGAAAAUGUAACACUGAGAAUAUUUAGUCCAAACAUGGAAAACUGGAAGGUAUGAUAUUUUUAAACUGUCACUGACAUUUAUUGUUUCACUAGCAAUAAUAUCACCAUGUCCUUGACAACCUGGCUGAGAGUAAUGGGCUGAUAAUAUAAUUAGCCUAUUUAAAGCUUAAAGGUUUUCACAAAGGUAUCUGAUAAACAAAAUGUUUUAAGAGUAAGCUUUUAUUGGCAUUUAUUUGGUAUGAUUUGCGAUACUUACUUGUGGCUUUGCUACGUUUGAAUAAUGUAGUUAUCAUACUGGUCCCAUGAAAAUUAUACUCUUUAGUUAUAUGCAUUUUCCAAAUAUAUACAUUCAUUAAAUAUUUGGCACAGAAAUUCAGCUUUGUUCUGUUUACGUAGAACAUGUUUCUUAGAUAUGUGUUGCAAACUGUCUACCCAUAUAGCUAAAGCUUUCCUUUAGAUCUGUGUUCCCCAACCUUUUGGGCACCAAGGACCGGUUUUGUGGAAGACAAUUUUUCCACGGAUGGGGAAGGGGGCGGGCGUCAAAAGGCAUUAGAUUCUCCUAAGGAGCUUGCAGCCUAGAUCCCUCACAUGCACGCAGUUCACAAUAGGGUUCGUGAUAUUAGAUCCCACAAUAGGGAUCUAAUAGCAUUAGAUGAGAAU
rnacentral:lncRNA from 1 species